rnacentral:rRNA from 1 species
AACAGGGAUGAGGAGUAUAUGCUAUUUCUGUGACGUUACUUACCCAGAAGGACACGGCUAACUACGUGCCAGCAGCCGCGGUAAUACGUAGGUGCGAGCGUUAUUCGGAUUUAUUGGGCGUAAAGCGAGCGCAGGCGGUUUUUUAAGUGAGAUGUGAAAGCCCCCGGCUCAACCGGGGAGGGUCAUUGGAAACUGGAGAACUAGAGUGCAGAAGAGGAGAGUGGAAUUCCAGGUGUAGCGGUGAAAUGCGUAGAUAUGUGGAGGAACACCAGUGGCGAAGGCGACUCUCUGGUCAGUAACUGACGCUGAGGCUCGAAAGCGUGGGGAGCAAACAGGAUUAGAUACCCUGGUAGUCCACGCCGUAAACGAUGAGUACUAAGUGUUGGAGGUUUUCCGCCCUUCAGUGUCGCAGUUAAGCCAUUAAGCACUCCCCUUGGGGAGUACGGCCGCAAGGUUGAAAUUCAAAGAAAUUGAGGGGGACCCGCCAAAGGGGUGGACCAUGUGGUUUAAUUGGAAGCAACGGGAAGACCCUUCCCAGUUCUUGCCUUCCUUGAACCACUCUAGAGAUAGAGCUUUCCUUUGGGGGACAAAGUGCCAGGUGGUGCAUGGUGGUGUUCAGCUCGUGUCGUGAGAUGUUGGGUUAAUUCCCGCAACGAGGCCAACCCUUACUUUUAGUUGCCAGCAUUUAGUUGGGCAAUUUUGUGAGACUGCCGGUGACAAACCGGAGGAAGGUGGGGAUGACGUCAAAUCAUCAUGCCCCUUAUGACCUGGGCUACACACGUGCUACAAUGGAUGGUACAACGAGUCGCAAGGUCGCGAGGCCAAAGUAAUUUUUUAAAGCCAUUCUCAGUUCGGAUUGUAGGUUGCAACUCGCCUACAUGAAGCCGGAAUCGCUAGUAAUCGCGGAUCAGAACGCCGCGGUGAAUACGUUCCCGGGUCUUGUACACACCGCCCGUCACACCACGAGAGUUUGUAACACCAGAAGCCGGUGAGGUAACCUUUCGGAGCCAGCUGUCUAACGUGGGAAGAAUGU